AGCCAGUGUGUGGCCGCACCGCGCGUCGAUCGUACGUUUCUUGUCGUCAAAAACCCUGCAAAAACUUAUGUGUAUUGAAUUAUAAAGUUUGGUGUCGUGUGUUUUUCAACAAAAAUACAACCGAAUCUACAAAGGCGAAGUGGAUUUCUAAUAAACUGGUGCAGAGAAUGAGAUAGAAAAAGAAAAAUUAUAUCUUGAAAUAGUUUUAAAAUAAGUUCAAAAAUGUCUUCCGCGGCCGAAAAUGGCGUUGUCGCAGACGACACAAGAGGCACAACAUACUACUUCAACAAAGGCCGCUCCAGCGCAACAAUAUGGCAGAGACUGAGUUUAUUCUUCUCAAUCUACUGGAAAUCUAUUAUAGUGGUGCUCACACCUUUAGUUCUGCUACCCAUACCUGUGGUCAACCGGUUUGCCGACAAUGCUAGUGCUUACAGAUGUUUAUAUGUGGUAUUAAUAAUGGCUACCUACUGGGUAUUGGAACUUCUUCCUCUACCUGUGACAUCCAUGCUGCCUAUAGUCCUAUUCCCUACCCUGGGUAUUCUGGACUCAGACAGAACCUGUGCAGCAUACAUGAAGGAGACCAACAUGAUGUUCAUGGGUGGUCUGAUGAUAGCUGCCGGAGUGCAGCAUUCCAAGCUGCCUAAAAGGGUUGCUUUAUGGACGGUGCAAGUUGUUGGAUGCUCACAUAGACGGUUGAACCUGGGUCUAACGUUAGUGACAAUGUUCAUCUCCAUGUGGGUCUCCAACGCUGCUGCCACGACUAUGAUGGUGCCCAUUGUUGACGCCAUACUUGAAGUCUUUGAACAGCAAGGGCUGGGUGACGUGUAUGUGAACAAAAAACGCGCUUUACCCGAAAAUGGAAAAGAAAUCAAAGCGCACGACAAAAAUACGGAAGACGAGUCGCCGGUGCCGAGCGACAUCACCAUCUGCUACUACCUGAGCAUAGCGUACGCGUCCACCCUGGGCGGCUGCGGCACGCUGGUGGGCACCGCCACCAACUCCGCCUUCAAGGGCAUCUUCGACUCGGAGUUCCCCGAGGUGUCUGGUUCGGUAGACUUCUUCUGGUUCAUGGCGUACAGUACGCCUCCCAUGCUGGUCAUGCAGAUACUGGUGUGGGUGUCUCUCCAGGUCACUUAUAUGGGGCUCUUCAGGCCUAACAGCGAAGCAGCUAAACGGGUGAAUAGAGCCUCCACAGGUUCCAGCAACACUAUGAAAAUCAUUAAAGAGCAAUACAACGGACUUGGACCUGCUACUUUCCAUGAAAAGGCUUCCGGGCUGCUGUUCAUCUUGGCGGUGUUCCUGUACAUCUUCAGGAAACCUGGCUUCAUGCUGGGCUGGGCUGACGUCAUCACCACCAUGAAAGUGAAGGACGGCGUAGUGUCCAUAGUCAUCGUGGUGCUGAUGUUCAUUCUGCCGAUGAGCAUGGACUUCAUCAAGUUCUUCACGUCCGCCGCCUCCUAUGAAGAACUAUCAGCCUCCAAGCCGUCUCCUAGCAUCGUCACGUGGAAUAUUUUGAAGGAGAAAAUCCCAUGGGGUCUGCUGUUCCUUUUGGGUGGCGGGUUCGCGCUGGCGGAGGGCAGCAAGGAGACGAAGCUGUCGUCGAUGAUCGGCUCGUCGCUGAACGGGCUCAACGGGCUGCACCCCGCGCUGGUGCUGCUGGUGGUGGUGCUGGUCACGCAGUUCAUCACGGAGUUCACCUCCAACGUGGCCAUCGCCAACCUCAUCCUGCCCGUGCUGGCUAACAUGGCCCGCGCGCUGCACAUGGACCCGCGCUACCUGAUGAUCCCGGCCACGCUGGCCUGCUCCAUGGCCUUCCACAUGCCGGUGGGCACGCCGCCCAACGCCAUCGUGGCCGGCGUCGCGCACAUACCCACCUCCAAGAUGGCUAUCGGAGGCAUCGGUCCAAAGAUCAUCACCACCCUGAUCGUAUGGGGCGCGUACCCCACGUGGGGCUCCCUCAUCUUCAAGGAAGGGGACAUUGCUGCCUUGCACGGCAGUAGCGCUGCCACGCAAAACGACAAAAUACUGCUCAACUGCAACGCGUCCGCCAACAGCCUCGACUCCAACACAACGUUCAGCUGCACAACGCCGGCGUCCAAGAUCGCCAACCAGACCGUGGCUUUGCAGGUCAGCAAGGGAUCCUUCACAUGUAAAUAUUUACCUUUCAUUAAGAGUUAGGUGAACUUUGUGUUGAUUAAGUAAAUUGGUCCGUAAAUUAAGUAUUAAAAAUUACGGAUCAAGUAUCAAAAUAAUUUUAUUUACGGCUCUUUUGAGCCUUUUUAAUGGUUAAGUAUAAAAUAGCCAUCGAUAUAAAUAUUGCUAGACGGCUUGGUCAUAAUAUUUGGUGAUGCCUGCUUUGAAGGCUCAUGACAAACCUUUAUAUGAGAAGUAAUUUUACACAGUUUGUAUAUAAAUGCGUAAUUUAUGCAUACCCUGGUUGCAAAUUUUGUGCAUACCACUGGGUGGGACAGUCCAGGCUAAAUAAAAAUAUUUUUAGAUUUUUACAUAUAUUAGUGGCAAUUUCAUACUUAAUGUAUUUAAAAAUGAGUGAAAUGAUUGAAUUCGGUGUUCAGUGGGUCCAAUACAAAAUGUUGCCAAUGUACAAGUAUUUAUUGUAAUACCAAUGUGUUUAUAACUUUUUUUUUGUUUUGGUAAGAGUCUAAUAAUUAUCUUUAAACUCCAUUCCUGUGAAAUUCCGUUUCUUUUUUUUAAUUUACCAUCUUCGUACUAUUGUCUUACGAAUGAAUGAGCACAUUUGUAGUUUAUUUGUUUUAAUGUUACCAAAACAAAAAAAAAAAAUAUCUUUUAGCACUCACAGAGCAUUUGCUGUGUUCAAAGGAAUCUUAAAAUGUAAAAGCAUUUACAAAAUAUUUUUGUAGUACCUUUUAUAGUAUAGCGACUCACUAGAUGGUAGUCAAAUCUUGUCAUGUACUAUGAUUCCAUCGAAGCUAAAGUACGCCAGAAAGAUACGAGAUCUGUCAAAUGUGACGUCAUAAAUUGGUUACGAUUGUGACGUCAUAAAAGUUUUGAUGAUGAAUUUUAUUACGAGGGUAGGUUUUUAUAGGCGCAGACUAAAAAGAGGUAGACGAAACCUAAUUAUCAAAGCGAAACACUUUCUUGUGAAUGAGCUGUUACACUUUGUUUACAUAGAUGAAAACGAGAGUAGCUCGCAUUCGAGAUGCUCUCGUUGUGUUAUUUAUACUUUAGCUGGAGAAGGCCUCACCUAAAACUCAGUCAGGUCUUUUUUUCACGUUCAAGCAAUAAAAAGAAGAUGACCACGUGAAGCAUUCAACCUAAAAUGAUUAAUUUUUUCAUUGCCGCCAUCCAAUAUUGUCAUCUUUUAAUAUUGUUGAAAAAGAAAGUAAAAAGUUAGUGAGGUCUUCCGCAAUAUCAGUCUGGGAUGAAUCAAGAAGGGCUGUGUUUAAGUUUCGUCUACCCUUUUCACACAAGUCUGUGCAUAUUACCUACGUUACCAAAAGAUAUACUUUAUACAUACAAAGUGAUCUUAUGAUGCGGGUGCGGACUUAGAUAUAUAUAUAAUAUAAAUGUAUAAGGGCGUGUCCACACUUCACGUAAAGUCAGUCGUUAACUGAACCGUCUUAAGACCAUUAAUGGCUCUUUCUGUACAUAUAAUUAAAUGAUUAAUUAAAAACAAUUUAAAAAUUAAGGUUUGUAACUGUGUUAAAACUCUAUUAAUUUAUUUUUAAUAGGUAUAGCUUAUUUUAUAGAACUGGGACUUAAAUCCAGAACCUCAUGAUCCAAAGUUACAAAAAACUAAUCAUUGGACCAACAAGGCAGUUUUGACAGCCUACGUUGCGCAGUGGAUUUACAAGACGAAGGUCCUGGGUUCAAUCCCCGGCUGGGUGGACUGGAUUGAAGUCCUGUUAAUUGGGAGGUUGGGUGAGAGGGUUCGGCUGUAGCUAGGCCCAUCCGGCAAAGACGUACCGCCAAGCGAUUUAGCGUUCUGGUAUGAUGUGUGGAAGCCGAAUGGGGUUUGGAUUUCAUCCUACUCUUAACAUGUUAACCCGCUUCCAUCUUAGAUUGCAUCAUCACUUACCAUCAGGUGAGAUUGUAGUCAAGGGCUAAGUUGUAGAGAAUAAAAAUAAAGUUGUGUAAUUUCAAAAGCAGACUUUUAUGUUUUAUGCAGCGUCGAUAGCUUUAGUAGUACAUAAUGGAAACAAUAUGGUUCGUAUGUACGUAAAACUGACUUUGGUACAUUACGACAGCUGACUUUACUUCAAGUGUGUGAAGUGAAAUGUGUAAUAUAUAAAUAUAUAUACUUGGCUUCUUUUCAUAUUUACACACUGCUUGUAUUAGUGACCAUUGUGUGGUAACGCUGGAAAGUGUCUAAAAUUGACAUAUGUCCAUUCAUAGACAAUACUAUUAGAAUAUAUAAUCUUACUCUGUGGUCUGUUAUAUUUUUUAUUUGAACUAAAAAUUGUCUUCAUUUUCUUUCAAAAUAGUUGUCAUUUUAACAAAAAAAAAGUAGCAGAGCGUGGUAAUGAUAAUCUGUUAUAAUUUGUAAAAAAAAAGUAGCAGAGCGUGGUAAUGAUAGUCUGUUAUAAUUUGUAAAAAAAAGUAGCAGAGCGUGGUAAUGAUAGUCUGUUAUAAUUUGUAAAAAAAAGUAGCAGAGCGUGGUAAUGAUAAUCUGUUAUAAUUUGUAAAAAAAAUAGCAGAGCGUGGUAAUGAUAGUCUGUUAUAAUUUUUUGUAUUAUUUUUGAAGUCUGUUUGUCUCUGGGUUAGUGGUAAAGUGUAGAGAAGCAUUUGAUAGUAGAUAGUUGACCAAAGAUUUUGGUGUCACUGUGUUGGUGUAUAGAACUGAAGGACAGUUUUUUAACGAAACAAACAGUUUUAACGUACAAACGCUCUUAUUCUAACUACCAUACACUACAUCCUAUGCAAAACGGACUUUCAAUUGUCAGUUCCAGGAUGAAAAGACCAAAGACAAUUUAAAUGAGAAAAAAACAGACCAAAGAGUUAGUAAACAGACAUGCGCAGUGCGUCAAUGUGAUGAAGGGCCAAUUGAAGAUAAAUUAGGUAUAAAUUUUUUGGCCAUGCUUAUUUUGGUUGUCUUUAGACUGGCAUGCUUAAACUACAUUACAUGUAUCUCUUUGAGUUGAUGUGUAACUAAGAAAAUAUCUAUCAACAAAAUGUGAACAACCUAAUAUCUCGUAUUAAUAAAAUGUUAUAAAAUACUUUUGGAGUACCUUUACUGUAGUUAUGGUAAUUAAAAUUUCAAAAAUGACGUAGCUUUUGUGAGUAGAGGUGUAUAAUUGUCUUUAUUAAUAACUUUUUCAUGGGAGCUCGCACACACUCAAUAAUAUUGUAAGUAAUAUUAUUGAAUGUGUGCGAGCGCCUUUAUAAAUCUCGAAUGUUUGUAAACAAAGCUUUGUACUAACUCUUAAUGUAAUACUAACUUUAUUAUUAAAUAGUUAUUUAGAAUGAGUAGAUAUGUCUAUAAAGUAUAUCAUUCCUAUAUUACUUAAUAUAUUUUUUCAAUUGAA
rnacentral:misc_RNA from 1 species